GACCUGGACCAUAUUGGCAAGAAUUUUGAGAAAUAGAAAUAUCAGUAGAAGAGCAUGAUGGCUUCACAGUAUCAUAAGUAACUGACGGAUCAACAAACACGUUCCCUGUAAUUUUGCAGAUUUUGAAGCCACCUUCAAUGUACGGUACUGAGUUAGGUUUGCAACUUGGACACAACAUGAACAUGCUGAGGAGAAACCAGGUUCAGCUUGCAAAUGAGGGCCAGGCUUUCUUCCUUUAGUGGCAUGUUUGUUUCAACAAGCUUCCUCCCACGGUCACGCUGUUCCUUUCCAACCUCUCAUAAGCAUUUCCUCAAGACUGGUGGUUUCUUCACCAAAGGGAUCGAGGUAUUUCCACAUCCUUCUUGAAGUGUGGACACCAUCACCCCUUUCUCUCUUAUUGUGGACUCAAUACAAAUCUCUUUUACAAGGGUCAGUCUUGAUGGACACGAACUUCAUCCCAAGAGCAAAAUUCUCCUCUCAGAUAACUGAUAUAAAGCAGUCUGCCUGGAUUCCUUCGCCCCAGGACCACUUCCCCAGUUCAAUGAUGCUUCUUUUGUCUUUCAAAUGUUGAUGCCAUGAGUAGAGAUGAGGGGAGAGAGGAAAUUGUGUCCUCUGUUCCUCAUUUUUAUCUUUUCCUCCUCUUUGAGAAUCAUCUCCUGGGAUUCAGGAGACAGCCAGUCUGUUUGCCAACAUGUAAAUUUCUUGCUCACUCCCAGCUGAAGUGACUGCUCAGGAUAACAGUGAAAAUGAUUAUAUAUAAAGUAUAAAAACUGAAAAUACUAACUUUUUUUUCAUUAAUCUCAUUUGGUUAUAGUCUGAUCUGUUUUUAUAAUCUCAAAAUAUUCAGACCAGUGUGAUUCUUUUUUUUAAAAACUGAUGAUCACUUUUAGGCCCAGAUUUUUAGACACUAAUGCACUCAGUGUUGCAAUGCCUAACUGAUUCAGGAACCUAAAUCUCAUUUUCAAAAGGGAUUUAGGCACUUAGGAGCCAAAAUCCCAUCAACUGUCUGGUUGUACAAUACUAACAAUACGCUAAUAAUUCAGACCAUAUAUUUGCCAGCCCGUUAUUAGCAUAUAUUUGUAAUGAAAGUGACUUUAAAACAUUAUUGAUAUAGUAUUUCACUGCAAUAAAACUACAGAAUGUUCAUUUUAUUUUAAUGAGUCUGUGAAACUGUAGCAUAGCAUAGCUUAGUGGGUUACAAUUUCCUAUUGAUGAUUCUAACUACUAAUGGUCUCAUACAAUGAUGCACUGGCACAUAGAUACAAUUUAAAAAGUGGUAUUAAGCUUGCUAAAUGACUAUAUGGAUAGCUACUA